CAUUCUUGUAAAUUACAAGAACAUUAAACAGAUAAACUACUACAACUUUGAAAAACUUAUCGCAGACCAAUAUCUUGAUUUUAACAAGACGUAUGACUAUCACAGCAUUAUGCAUUAUGGCAAAAAUUUUUUCGCCGACCCACUCAAUGCAAUUUCGAUGGCACCGAUAGACGAAGAUUAUUUGGAUAUAAUUGGAGAAGCACGACAGCUCAGCUUCCAUGAUGUACAAAUCGUGAACGCCAUGUAUAAGUGCAAAGAGAAGUGUGCUCACGUAGAAUGCCCGAAGGAUGCAUUUGUGGGGAAAAACUGCGAAUGCUUUUGCCAGGGACCUCCCGAAGAUCCAGUUCUACGAUGCACCCGAAACCGGAAAGGUAUGGAUGUAUAUCGCAAUAGCAUACCCUUUUUUCACAAUUGUAUAGGUUUUCGUAGACUCUAGUUACUCUAAAAG